rnacentral:rRNA from 1 species
UAGUCCACGCCGUAAACGAUGGUUACUAGAUGUUUGGUGGAUUAACCCACUGAGUAUCAAAGUUCACACAUUAAGUAACCCGCCUGGGGAGUACGGUCGCAAGGCUAAAACUCAAAGGAAUUGACGGGGGCCCGCACAAGCGGUGGAGUAUGUGGUUUAAUUCGAAGCAACGCGAAGAACCUUACCUGGUCUUGACAUCCUGUGACAAUCAUAGAGAUAUGCCUUUCCCCUCGGGGACGCAGUGACAGGUGCUGCAUGGCUGUCGUCAGCUCGUGUUGUGAGAUGUUCGGUUAAGUCCGGCAACGAGCGCAACCCCUAUCCUUAGUUACCAUCAUUAAGUUGGGGACUCUAGGGAGACUGCCGAUGUCAAAUCGGAGGAAGGCGGGGAUGACGUCAAGUCCUCAUGGCCCUUACGACCAGGGCUACACACGUACUACAAUGGUAGAAACAGACUGUUGCGAAACCGAAAGGUCAAGCUAAUCAGUAAAACACUAUCUCAGUCCGGA